rnacentral:rRNA from 1 species
UACGUAGGAGGCGAGCGUUGUCCGGAAUUACUGGGCGUAAAGCGCGCGUAGGCGGCGUGCUGCGUCGGGGAUGAAAGCUCCCGGCUUACCUGGGAGAGGGUGCCCGAAACGAGCGCGCUGGAGGGCGGUAGGGGCUGGCGGAACGCCCGGAGUAGCGGUGAAAUGCGUUGAGAUCGGGCAGAACACCAGUGGCGAAGGCGGCCGGCUGGGCCGACCCUGACGCUGAGGCGCGAAAGCCAGGGGAGCGAACGGA